AUGAAUAUGGUGGAAUAUGAUAGUGAUCACUCGGACGAUGAGGGUGAUGUUUUUGCUACUGAAUUUGUUUGGCCAUCUAAGUUCAAACCCUUUACUUGCAAUGAUCUGAAACCGAUUCAUAAGAAUCAUGAUGAAGAGAUGAAGUUCACUUUUAACAUUGCUAAGUGUGAUAGAAUAUUUGAUGCUUUGCUGCAGGCUAAGAAUAUUAGAAUAUCUCAUACUUUACCGCCGUUUGAAGAGCUAAAAUGGCGUGCUUAUUGCAAGUAUCAUAAUUCUUUUUCUCAUGCUACUAACGAUUGCAAUGUUUUUCAACGACAGAUACAAUCGGCCAUUAAUGACGGACGAUUGAACUUUUCUGAGAUGCAAGUUGAUAAACAGCCUUUUCCAAUGAAUACCAUGGAUUUGGAGGGGAAGAAGCUACUCAUUCGGCCGGAGGUAGACGAAUCUGCUAAUAAAGCUAAUGUCAUUGUUGGUGAGCCCAGGAAAGACAAGGAGGACAACAAGGUCUUGGGGAGACAGGUUGUGCUUGGUAAGCAACCCGAUGGCAAGGAAGUGAUCAAAAUCACCAUCAAGAAUCCUACACUCGGGGGGCAACUGCAAGUGCAAGAAAAUGCUCGUGUGAGAUUUGUCAAGCCCAAGAGUCCAGAAAUUGGCAAGUGGAAAAGGAAUGAAGUUAAAGUAUGGCGCAAGCGGAUCAAGCCAACUUUUGAUAUGUUGCUGUCCAAGUACACCAACCAGUCGGCCGGUUCUAGCUUUAAUCGGCCGACUCAUCUGAAGCGACCAAGGUCAUCAUCAGCUGAUAUGUUCAGUCAGUAUAUGAAACCGAGUGGACCAAGGGUGCCGUUUCCAGAAGAGCAUACACAAUCUGUUUGGGAUUGA
rnacentral:rRNA from 1 species